UACAGAGGGUGCGAGCGUUACUCGGAAUUACUGGGCGUAAAGCGCGCGUAGGCGGCUUUGCAAGUCGAGUGUGAAAUCCCCAGGCUUAACCUGGGAACUGCAUUCGAGACUGCAUAGCUAGAGUAUGGGAGAGGGAAGUGGAAUUUCAGGUGUAGCGGUGAAAUGCGUAGAUAUCUGAAGGAACAUCAGUGGCGAAAGCGACUUCCUGGACCAAUACUGACGCUCAUGUGCGAAAGCGUGGGGAGCAAACAGG
rnacentral:rRNA from 1 species